rnacentral:rRNA from 1 species
CCUCCCCUGACCAGGUGAAGGAGAAGAGGAGCAGCUGCGGUCCAGCGGUGGUGAAUUUCUCCUCCUCCUCAACAACACACAGCGGCUAUCGAUGUUGUUGAUGUCAUGUGCUUGCUGAUCAUCUUCCGCGACGUCCGUCGGUUCCGGCUCGCCUCGGGCAGCCGCUGUGUUUUGUUUGCUGUUGUUGCUGAGUGCUGUGCUCUUGCCUGUUUGCUGUUGAUGUAUAAUUCAAUCCAGUAGUAGUUAGCAAGUAAUCCGGUAUGCUGUUGAUGAAAUAAACAUAUACCUGUGUGUGUGUAUGUGUUGAUUUCUCCCCUGCAUAUAUCCCUAAUGGCUGUUGAUGUACGAUCCAUGAAGCUCUGCUAAUGAAUUAGCUACUAGUGGAUCCUAGGAAGAAAAAAAAAAUUGUUGCACAGAAUGCCCAAGUGUGGUUAUAAAACUGUUGCAAACAAUGCUCGUAGCAGCUCAAGAACAAGUGAAAUUCACCUAGGCCAACCAAUUCCAUAUUUAGGUAUUUGCUGGGUUAAGUAUUUGGUCCCCAAAUUUUCACGCAUUAUGGUGGUGAGCUAAAACCAUCAUAAGCGAAUUAUUGCCAAACUGGUAGAAAAGGAAGCAGUGGUACUAAAGAAAAAUCACAGAAAGAGUUUAUGCCUGGUUGGACCAAGUGGUUUCUGAUCAUGCAUUCUUGAUGCUGGUGCAAGCAGGAGGCGAACGUAAGCGAGUGUUGGUGUGUAGAGGUGAUCAUUUUUGGCUUCUCAAGCAACCUGCAAGCACGCACCACACUAUUUCAGUGAAUGUAUGUGCAAGCAUCCUAAGAAUAAGUCCAAGUCCAAGUGUCCAACUGUGCUCACACGAUCAUAGCAGCUCAAUACUCACUCUACUAAAAUAAUACUCACUCUACUAUUAUCUAGGUCGGGUCGGCAAUAGAUUGAAUGUGAAAUCAAAUAUUGAUUUCCCUGUGUUUGCAGCCAUAUUUUAAUUAUAAUAAUUAGAAAAUUUAUCCCCACGGUUCUUUGGUUUCGAAUACCAUUCUAGGAUAGAGAUUGAACUCGUACUCCGAACGAAUGUACGCUGGAUCUGCUCGAACUGCGACAUUUGCCUAAUUUAUUUUCACAUUAAACAGAAUUCAGCAUUAUAAUAUGUUGUAUUAUGCUCAUGAAACAUGUACUCCCUCCAUUCCUAAAUAUAAGUCUCUUUAGAAUUUCAAUAUGGACUACUACGGAUGUAUAUAGACGUAGUUUAGAGUGUACAUUCACUCAUUUUGCUCCAUAUGUAGUCCAUAAUGGAAUCUCUAAAAAGACUUAUAUUUAGGAACGGAGGGAGUAGAUUCUAAAUUACAAUGACUUGUGGCUGGUUAGAUGUUCUACAAAAAGAUUUCAAUGCUGAAUUUGAAUUCGGAGAAGCAUAGAGAGAGACUCCGAACAAGAAAAUAUAGAAUAUAUUCAAAUUUAUGUUCUAUUUGUUGAAUUUUAGCACAAAUUAUUAUUGUCUGUUCAUUUUUGUGAAAAUUAUAUUUGCAGUCUGCAGGAUUUGGAUACUUCUUAUUUAUUUCUGCACCUACCUGUAUGUUACUCUUAUCAUAGAUAUCUUUGUUUUCAAGAGCUUGUUUUCAAAUUUCUGAAGGGCGUAUUUUUCCCCCAUGCUAGAGAUUAGAGAAAUAUAUGUUGGCGUAUUUGGGACUCAACUAACUUUAAUCCCGUAGGAACUGAUUCUUUUUCAAUGCAACAAAAAGAGGUUGGAAACCUUGCACAAGCCGUCAGGUCAGAAGUAACAAUAAAAACAAAAUGAAAUCAGUUUCCUCUCCUCCAUUUAGUACUAGUACUAGUCCGACUACUAGUACUCCAUUCCAACUGCUCACUCUACCUCCCACCUCAGCUGGUACGUAAGUGGGCAGAAUCAAAGUAUUGCCAAACUCUAAACUCAGCGUUGAAAGUGGUGUUGGUGGAUUGAUAAGCUGAUGUAUCUAAUGGCAUACAUGCCUUCCUGCGGCACCUUCCAUGCACCUUUAGUGUCUUCUUGCCUGAGGAGGAAAUUAACAGUGGUGGCCACGGCUUCCAAGGCCAAGGUUGGAACUCCCGAAAAGGCCUCCACUCAAGUCCGAUUCGCGCAACCAUUCCCACCUGAAAAGAAGGAAGUUUUCGAUUCAUUGGAGCGCUGGGCAGAGGACAACAUCCUGGUCUUGUUGAAGCCAGUAGAGAAAUCCUGGCAGCCGCAGGACUACCUGCCAGACCCUUCCUCGGAUGGAUUCCAUGAUGAAGUCAAGGAGUUGAGGGAACGGGCCAAGGAGAUCCCGGAUGACUACUUGGUCUGUCUGGUUGGAGACAUGGUCACUGAGGAAGCACUCCCUACUUACCAGACAAUGCUCAAUAUCCUCGAUGGCGGUGUCGGCGACGAUACCGGCACCAGUCCAGCCAGUUGGGCUGUCUGGACGAGGGCAUGGACGGCCGAGGAGAACAGGCACGGUGAUCUCAUGAACAAGUACAUGUACCUCACCGGGAGGGUUGAUAUGAGGCAGAUUGAGAAGACCAUACAGUAUCUCCUUGGUGCUGGAAUGGUAAGCAAGCACUUGGUGUCAGGUUCCUGAAUUUCCUUUUUUUUAUCUCAACCUCCAUUUUUCUUGCUUCCUUUUUGCUGACAAAAUUAAUUACAAGGAUUACAAUAUGUCCCGAAUGGGGAAAGACCCACGAUUUGGCAACAUAUACAUACACUUGCUAGUUGAAUGGUGUGCUCUUCUUACUUGUAGGAUCCAAAAACCGAGGGCAACCCAUAUCAGGGUUACAUCUACACAUCUUUCCAAGAGAGGGCAACCUUCAUAUCCCACGGCAACACUGCAAGGCACGCCAGGAAGUACGGGGACCUGAAACUGGCUCAGAUAUGUGGCACCAUCGCGGCCGACGAGAAGCGCCAUGAGACGGCCUACACCAAGAUUGUGGAGAAGCUCUUCGAGGUCGACCCCGACUACACCGUGCUGGCAUUCGCGGCCAUGAUGAGGAAGAAGGUCACGAUGCCCGCCCACUUGAUGUACGACGGGCAGGACGACAACCUGUUUGAGCACUUCAGCGCGGUGGCUCAACGGCUGGGCGUCUACACCGCCAUAGACUACGCGGACAUCCUCGACUUUCUGGUGCAGAGGUGGAACGUCGCCAACCUCACUGGGCUGUCUGGGGAAGGGAGGCGGGCUCAGGAUUUCCUCUGCUCACUGGGACCAAGGUUCAGGAAGCUGGAGGAGCGAGCUCAGGGCAGGGCGAAGCAGUUACCGGUUGUUCCUUUCAGCUGGAUCCAUGGUCGGCAAGUGCAACUUUGAGUGACAUUGCAAAACAAUUAUAAGACGAUUUGUUCUUCUUAUUUUCAAAAUAUGAAGCAACUGUUGACUUGUACUACUAUAAACGUAUUUACUCUACAUGUGCCAAAGAAGCUUAAAAUAACAUAAUUAUAUCAUG